rnacentral:rRNA from 1 species
AGAGUUUGAUCCUGGCUCAGAACGAACGCUGGCGGAGUGCUUAAGACAUGCAAGUCGUACGAGAAAGUCACCUUCGGGUGGCGAGUAAAGUGGCGCACGGGUGAGUAACACGUGGAUAAUCUGCCUAUAGGUCUGGGAUAACCCCGGGAAACUGGAGCUAAUACCGGAUAAGACCACGACGUCUUCGGGCGACGCGGUAAAAGAUGGCCUCUCCUUGGAAGCUAUCGCCNAUAGAUGAGUCCGCGGACCAUUAGCUUGUUGGUAGGGUAACGGCCUACCAAGGCUACNAUGGUUAGCUGGUCUGAGAGGAUGAUCAGCCACACUGGAACUGAGACACGGUCCAGACUCCUACGGGAGGCAGCAGUCGGGAAUCUUG